rnacentral:rRNA from 1 species
CACGUAGGGGCAAGCGUUGUCCGGAUUUAUUGGGCGUAAAGAGCUCGUAGGCGGCUCAGUAAGUCAGGUGUGAAACCUCCAGCUCAACCUGGAGGCGCCACUGAUACUGCUGUGGCUAGAGUCCGGUAGGGAGCGUGGAAUUCCGUGGUGUAGCGGUGAAAUGCGCAGAUAUCAGGAAGAACACCAAUGGCGAAAGCAGCU